rnacentral:rRNA from 1 species
GAACGAGAAAGUGGAGCAAUCCAUGAGUAAAGUGGCGACCGGNGUGAGUAACACGUGACUAACCUGCCCUAGAGUGGGGGAUAACCUCGGGAAACCGGGGCUAAUACCGCAUAACAUCGCGAGGGGAAGAUCCUUGCGAUCAAAGGAGCAAUUCGCUCAAGGAGGGGGUCGCGGCUGAUUAGCUAGUUGGUGAGGUAACGGCCCACCAAGGCGAAGAUCAGUAGCCGGCCUGAGAGGGCGCACGGCCACACUGGAACUGAGACACGGUCCAGACUCCUACGGGAGGCAGCAGUGGGGAAUAUUGCGCAAUGGCCGAGAGGCUGACGCAGCGACGCCGCGUGUGGGAUGAAGCUCUUCGGGGUGUAAACCACUGUUGCCCGGGACGAACGGGAGGAUCAAUCCUCCGUGACGGUACCGGGUGAGGAAGCACCGGCUAACUCCGUG